GACGAACGCUGGCGGCGUGCUUAACACAUGCAAGUCGAACGGAAAGGCCCUGCUCUUGUGGGGUGCUCGAGUGGCGAACGGGUGAGUAUCACGCGAGUAACCUGCCCUUGACUUUGGGAUAACUUCAGGAAACUGGGGCUAAUACCGCACAGAAGCUCCUGCUGCAUGGUGGGGGUUGGAAAGUUUCGGCGGUUGGGGAUGGACUCGCGGCUUAUCAGCUUGUUGGUGGGGUAGUGGCUUACCAAGGCUUUGACGGGUAGCCGGCCUGAGAGGGUGACCGGCCACAUUGGGACUGAGAUACGGCCCAGACUCCUACGGGAGGCAGCAGUGGGGGAUAUUGCACAAUGGGCGGAAGCCUGAUGCAGCAACGCCGCGUGCGGGAUGACGGCCUUCGGGUUGUAAACCGCUUUCGCCUGUGACGAAGCGUGAGUGACGGUAAUGGGUAAAGAAGCACCGGCUAACUACGUG
rnacentral:rRNA from 1 species